rnacentral:rRNA from 1 species
UACGUAGGGUGCGAGCGUUGUCCGGAAUUAUUGGGCGUAAAGGGCUCGUAGGCGGUUUGUCACGUCGGGAGUGAAAACUCGGGGCUCAACCCCGAGCCUGCUUCCGAUACGGGCAGACUAGAGGUAGGUAGGGGAGAAUGGAAUUCCCGGUGUAGCGGUGAAAUGCGCAGAUAUCGGGAGGAACACCGGUGGCGAAGGCGGUUCUCUGGGCCUUACCUGACGCUGAGGAGCGAAAGCGUGGGGAGCGAACAGG